CAGGAGGGGAGGGGACGGCUUGCCCGGCCUGUGGUGUGAGGUCUACCUGGGAACGGUGGAGUGUUCUUGCCCCAGGAGCCCCCAAGUCUACAAUGAACAAACGGGCAGUUUAUUUCUGAAAUAAUCCCAGGGCAUCGCUGCUGGUCUGGGAGAGAAGGGAAGACCAACCUGUCAUGAGGAUGUCUUCAAACACACGGCUGGGACUGCCAUGCUGGCCGCUCUCGGGAAAGGCGUGUGUGUCCGGGGACACGCGGAGGCCUUGGAUGGGGUGGCACUGGGUCCCCUGGUAUUUCUUUUAUGGGUGGGCGUGGGCACCCCUGGCCUGAAGGUCAUCCCUCAGGCCUCGUGGACACACAGGGAAGAGGCGGGCUUCUCUAAGCGUCUUCCGUUGGCCUGAAUUCCCACCGCUCCUCCAACAGGGAGAGCGCGGCCUGCGGGCGGGAAAGGCCGGGGCGGAGACCUGGGCUCCCCGCCCCUUCCCAGGAAUGUGACCAAGACUGGACGCUGAGCCGGCCUCAUCUCCUCAGUCAUCUGAGUCCAUUUCCGGUGAGACAGACCCGACAGUAUCUGUCCACGUGUGGGCCUGACGGCCGUGAUACCAUCAGCAGAUAAACGCAGAGCUGGGGAGACAGCGGGAAGGCCGGCAGCUGCGAGGUUCGCCGCCGACCCAAGUCCCCGCGUGGUGUGAGCGCGUUCGUCGUCAGGUCCGCUCGGCUGUCCUCGCCGCCGUCACCGGCGUCCGCAUCCUGCCCUG